rnacentral:rRNA from 1 species
GUUGAACGCUAGCUGCAGGCUUUACACAUGCAAGUCGAGGGACCGGCGCACGGGUGAGUAAUACCUAUACAACCUCCCCUUUACUCGGUGAUAGCCCUUCGAAAGGACUAUUAAUACCUGAUAUAAAGGAUGGGGAUGCGUUCCAUUAGGUUGUUGGUGAGGUAACGGCCCACCAAGCCUUCGAUGGAUAGGGGUUAGGAGAGGAAGGUCCCCUGGAUUGGAACUGAGACACGGCACAAACUGCUACGCGAGGCAGCAGUGAGGAAUAUUGUUGAAGGGGCGGUAGCCUGAACCUGCCAAGUAGCGUGAAGGAGGAAGGCUUAUGGGUCGUAAACUUCUUUUAUAGAAGAAUAGGUAUUAUAUGAAUAAGGAGCGGCUAACUCCGUGCCAGCAGCCGCGGUAAUUC